UCACCAGGAAAGUAUGCCAUUCCUGAGUCGACAGAUAUGUAGCUGCUGCUUCUGUUUAAUUAUCAUGGGCUGCCCUGCCAGAAGCACUGGCCCACAAUGUCCUUCAGCUUUCCAUUGCUGUAUGCAAAGCAGGAGCCUCAUGCUGCUUUGAACGGGGUGUUAUUACAGCCGCUGCACGGACUGAAGUGCAGAGUAGCAAUGGCUUUGGCUCUUUGCUGAUGAAGAGGAACUGAUUUUGGCAGGAUACUCCUUGUUACACUGGACUGCUUCCCAGCCUCCUGUAGGUUUUGGAAAGUGUCCCGUUCAGCUGCCAUGUGGAAGGCUUUGAACUUUAAAUGGGAACAGGCGCAGUGCAGCUGAGGGGGAGUGGGGGGGGGUGGUGCUGGCAGUCCUCCCUCCUCUCCUUCCCUCCCCAGUGCCACCUCAGGAAGCUAUCCUGCAGCUCUGGAGCCUUGGGGGAGGCUGCAAGGAAAUGUUCUACACAACGGGAAUGUGUCCUGAAUCAACAGGUGUGAUGCUUGCAUAGUGCCUGACCUAAAGAGAUGAAGAAGUACCCUGUGGUAUGGUCAGUGUUGCCAUUGAUGCACCCUGUGCUGUCCUUACCUGCCACAGUGUGUUUCAGAAGAUCUCCUCAUGGGCCUAAGGAGCUGCAGGAAGUUGUUGGUGCGCUGCAGCAUGGCAAGCUGCUUUCUCCACUUCCUUCCUUGCACUAUUGUGUAAAGUUGUAGUCAACAGCAUAGAAGAAAAACAGAAUGCAUAUUUUUUCAUCUUUCUUUCAAAAGGCCUCACUGGGCUUGUUCUUUGAUGCGGCAGGACUGUGCUUCGGUUAUACUGCCUCAGUACUGCUCCUGGUACUCAGCACCCCAGCUGGGGAGGUACAGCCAUCCUGUCCACCCUCCAGCAUUCCCUGGGAUGGAUAUCAGAAAGGCAGAUUUCAGAAGGGAUAGAGAAAGCAUGCCAUCAGCUCACAUGGGGAUUUCUCAUUCAGAUGUGCCUUCAACAAAGAAGCUCAGACAUCAUGGGGCUCAGGUCCACGAUGCUAGUGGGCUUGUAGGUUUUGGAACAUUCAGGAUAAGAACUUUUUCCUUUAUGGAAUGCAUCAGGAAGAGAGAAGAACCUCACUUGGGUGGGGUACAAAUGGAGCAAUUUAAGAGCAGCUACUUUUACAAUACUUAUACUUUUGAGAAAUAAAUUCUUUCCGUUAUGUUUAAACGCCAGCUUGGUUCUCUUGGGCAGCAAAAUGCCUUCUGGCUGAAAUGCUGGACUGUACACAGAAGUGGGCUAAUUUACUGACGGGAGACACUAAUAUUUAAAAACUGAUCUUGAGGAAUGUAAUCAAGUUAACUGACACAAGAAUAGCACAAGAAAUAUGGCUUAUCUUGUCUUUUCCUUCAGUAAUGUGGAAAAAAGAAGUAAAUACAAGACACCUUUUGACA